rnacentral:rRNA from 1 species
UCGAGCGGACAGAAGGGAGCUUGCUCCCGGAUGUUGGCGGCGGACGGGUGAGUAACACGUGGGUAACCUGCCUGUAAGACUGGGAUAACUCCGGGAAACCGGAGCUAAUACCGGAUAGUUCCUUGAACCGCAGGGUUCAAGGAUGAAACACGGCUUCGGCUGUCACUUACAGAUGGACCCGCGGCGCAAUAUCUAGUUGGUGAGGUAACGGCUCGCCACGGCCACUAUGCGUACCCAACCUGAGAGGGUGAUCGGCCACACUGGGACUGAGACACGACCCAUACUCCUACGGGAGGCGGCAAUAAGGAAUCUUCGGCAAUGGACCAGAGUCUGACGGACCAACGCCGCGUGAAUGAUGAACGUUUUCGGAUCCCAUUUCUCUGUUGUUAAGGAACAACUGGUGCAUAACUAAUUGCUUGGACCUUGACCGUACCUAACCCAAAAGCCAACUUCAACUACGUGCCCGCAGCCGCGGUAAUACGUAAGUGGUUACUCUUGUCCGGAGUUAUUGGGCCUUGAGGGCUCGCACGUUGUUUCCUAAUUCUGAUGUGAAAGCCCUCCGGCUCAACCCUGCAGGGUCAUUGGAAACUGGGAAACUGUGAGUGCAGAUACGAGAGUGGAAUUCCUCGUGUAGAGGUGCAAAUGCGUCAGAUGUAGAUGAACACCAGAGGCAACGCCACUCUCUGGUCUGUAACUGACGCUGAAGAGCGAAGCGUGCAGAGCGAUAGGAAUACAUACCCUGGUAGUCCUAACGAUACGAUUAGUGCUAGUGUUAAGGUGUUCCGCCCCUUAGAGCUGCCGCUAUCACAUUAAGCACUCCGCCUGG